rnacentral:rRNA from 1 species
UACGUAGGGAGCAAGCGUUGUUCGGAAUUACUGGGCGUAAAGCGUGCGCAGGCGGUUUUGUAAGUCUGUCGUGAAAUCCCCGGGCUCAACCUGGGAAUGGCGAUGGAGACUGCAAGGCUAGAAUCUGGCAGAGGGGGGUAGAAUUCCACGUGUAGCAGUGAAAUGCGUAGAGAUGUGGAGGAACACCGAUGGCGAAGGCAGCCUCCUGGGCCGACACUGACGCUCAUGCACGAAAAGCGUGGGGGAGCAAAACAGGG